rnacentral:rRNA from 1 species
CACGUAGGGUGCGAGCGUUGUCCGGAAUUAUUGGGCGUAAAGAGCUUGUAGGCGGUCUGUCGCGUCUGCUGUGAAAAAUCCGGGGCUCAACCCCGGACUUGCAGUGGGUACGAGCAGACUAGAGUGGUGGUAGGGGAGACUGGAAUUCCUGGUGUAGCGGUGAAAUGCGCAGAUAUCAGGAGGAACACCGAUGGCGAAGGCAGGUCUCUGGGCCACUACUGACGUGGAGAAAGCG